CAGCCGCCGCGGUAAUACGUAGGUCCCGAGCGUUGUCCGAAUUUAUUGGGCGUAAAGCGAGCGCAGGCGGUUAGAUAAGUCUGAAGUUAAGGGCUGUGGCUUAACCAUAGUACGCUUUGGAUACUGUUUAACUUGAGUGCAAGAGGGGAGAGUGGAAUUCCAUGUGUAGCGGUGAAAUGCGUAGAUAUAUGGAGGAACACCAGUGGCGAAGGCGACUCUCUGGUCUGUAACUGACGCUGAGGCUCGAAAGCGUGGGUAGCAAACAGGAUUAGAUACCCCAGUAGUCCCUGUCUCUUAUACA
rnacentral:rRNA from 1 species